UACAGAGGGUGCUAGCGUUAAUCGGAAUUACUGGGCGUAAAGAGCAUGUAGGUCGGUAUUUAAGUCGGAUGUGAAAGCCCCGGGCUCAACCUGGGAAUCGCAUUCGAUACUGAAUAUCUAGAGUAUGAUAGAGGGAAGUGGAACUUCCGGUGUAGCGGUGAAAUGCGUAGAUAUCGGAAAGAACAUCAGUGGCGAAGGCGGCUUCCUGGAUCAAUACUGACACUAAAGUGCGAAAGCGUGGGGAGCAAACAGG
rnacentral:rRNA from 1 species